rnacentral:rRNA from 1 species
AUUGAACGCUGGCGGCAUGCUUUACACAUGCAAGUCGAACGGUAACAGGCCGCAAGGUGCUGACGAGUGGCGAACGGGUGAGUAAUGCAUCGGAACGUGCCCCGUCGUGGGGGAUAACUACUCGAAAGAGUAGCUAAUACCGCAUACGAUCUAUGGUUGAAAGCGGGGGACCGCAAGGCCUCGCGCGAUUGGUGCGGCCGAUGUCAGAUUAGGUAGUUGGUGGGGUAAAGGCUCACCAAGGCAACGAUCUGUAGCUGGUCUGAGAGGACGACCAGCCACACUGGGACUGAGACACGGCCCAGACUCCUACGGGAGGCAGCAGUGGGGAAUUUUGGACAAUGGGCGCAAGCCUGAUCCAGCAAUGCCGCGUGCAGGAAGAAGGCCUUCGGGUUGUAAACUGCUGUUGUACGGAACGAAACGGCUCUGGUUAAUACCCGGGGCUAAUGACGGUACCGUAAGAAUAAGCACCGGCUAACUACGUG